rnacentral:rRNA from 1 species
GAUGAACGCUGGCGGCGUGCCUAAUACAUGCAAGUCGAGCGAACAGACGAGGAGCUUGCUCCUCUGACGUUAGCGGCGGACGGGUGAGUAACACGUGGAUAACCUACCUAUAAGACUGGGAUAACUUCGGGAAACCGGAGCUAAUACCGGAUAAUAUAUUGAACCGCAUGGUUCAAUAGUGAAAGACGGUUUUGCUGUCACUUAUAGAUGGAUCCGCGCCGCAUUAGCUAGUUGGUAAGGUAACGGCUUACCAAGGCGACGAUGCGUAGCCGACCUGAGAGGGUGAUCCGCCCCCCUGGAACCGGGACCCGGUCCAAACUCCUCCGGGAGGCACCAGUAGGGAAUCUUCCCCCAUGGGCGGAAGCCUUACCGGGCCACCCCCCGGGGGGUAUUAAGGGUUUCCGGUCCUAAAACCUUUUUUUUUGGGGAAAACCAAAUUUUUAAUUAACUUUCCCCUUUUUACCGUUCCCUAUCCAAAAACCCCCGCUUACCUCCUG